rnacentral:rRNA from 1 species
UACGUAGGGUGCAGGCGUUAAUCGGAAUUACUGGGCGUAAAGCGUGCGCAGGCGGUCUUUUAAGUCAGAUGUGAAAUCCCCGGGCUUAACCUGGGAACUGCGUUUGAAACUGGAAGGCUAGAGUGUGGCAGAGGGGGGUGGAAUUCCACGUGUAGCAGUGAAAUGCGUAGAGAUGUGGAGGAACACCAGUGGCGAAGGCGACUCUUUGGUCUGUAACUGACGCUGAGGCGCGAAAGCGUGGGGAGCAAACAGG